rnacentral:rRNA from 1 species
AUUGAACGCUGGCGGCAGGCCUAACACAUGCAAGUCGAACGAGUGGCGGGAGGGUGAGUAAUGUCUGGGAACCUGCCCGAUGGAGGGGGAUAACUACUGGACAAAGUAGCUAAUACCGCAUACCAUCGGAUGUCCCCAGAUGGGAUUAGCUAGUAGGUGGGGUAACGGCUCACCUAGGCGAAGAUCCCUAGCGGGUCUGAGAGUAUGACCAGCCACACGGGAACUGAGACACGGUCCAGACUCCUACGGGAGGCAGCAGUGGGGAAUAUUGCACAAUGGGCGCAAGCCUGAUGCAGCCAUGCCGCGUGUAUGAAGAAGGCCUUCGGGGUGUAAAGUACUUUCAGCGAGGAGGCGUUACUCGCAGAAGAAGCACCGGCUAACUCCGUGCCAGCAGCCGCGGUAAUUC